GCCGUCCCCACCGCCGCCGCUGUCCCCGCCGCCACCGCCGUCGCCCCGGCCCCCGCGCCCGCUGUCCCCGCUGCGCCCGCCUGUCCCUGCCGCCGCUGCCGCUGGAGGCCCGGACGCGACGAGCUCAGGACGCCGCUGCCGCCAUGGCCGUCGUCGCGCCGCGAACUGCAUUGUGGGGGGGAGGGCCGGCGGAGGAGGUGAGCGGGGAGGGGGCGGGGCCGGAGGGGGCGGGGCCGACGGGGGCGGGGCCCGGCAGGGGCGGCCCGAGGGCCAGGGCCCGGCGCCAGGGCGCCCCCCAGGGAGGGGGAGGGGAGGGGAGCGGGCGAGAGCCCGGGGGCGCCGAGCGGCGGCGACCCCCUCCUCCCAGAGGAACGCCUCCCCCGGCUGGGACCAAGGAAAGGGCACGCGAACCUCCCCCCCCACUCCAACCCUGGGCGCGAGGACUUCUGUCGGCCCCCCGGAGAGAAAUAGAGAGAUUUUGUGUGUGUAUGUGUGUGUGUGAGGAGUCAGAGACAGAGACAAGAGAGAGAGCGACAGAGAACAAGAAGGAGGAAGGACAGCCCCCCCUCCCCAUGGGCACAGGGACCCCGACCUGGCAAGGACUAGGGAACAGUCCAGCUCCUUUAAAUGAACUACAAGGCAUCGGAACCACCAAGGAUAUCCGUUUCUUGUUGACAGGGGCAAUUUCCAGCCCUUUGCACUGGAGGUACUUAAUACAGAAUGGAAAUGUCUGA
rnacentral:lncRNA from 1 species